AGGAGUGUAGCUCAGUUGGUAGAGCAUCGGUCUCCAAAACCGAGGGUCGUGGGUUCGAGUCCCUCCACUCCUGCCA
rnacentral:tRNA from 4 species